rnacentral:rRNA from 1 species
UACGUAGGUGGCGAGCGUUAUCCGGAUUUACUGGGUGUAAAGGGCGUGCAGGCGGGUCCGCCAGUCGGGUGUGAAAUAACCGGGCUUAACCCGGGAGGGUCAUCCGAAACUGCGGAUCUUGAGUACUGGAGAGGAUAGUGGAACUCCUAGUGUAGCGGUAAAAUGCGUAGAUAUUAGGAGGAACACCAGUGGCGAAGGCGGCUAUCUGGACAGUAACUGACGCUGAGGCGCGAAAGCGUGGGGAGCAAACAGG